rnacentral:rRNA from 1 species
UACGUAUGGUGCAAGCGUUAUCCGGAUUUACUGGGUGUAAAGGGAGCGUAGACGGAGAGGCAAGUCUGAUGUGAAAACCCGGGGCUCAACCCCGGGGCUGCAUUGGAAACUGUUUUUCUAGAGUGUCGGAGAGGUAAGUGGAAUUCCUAGUGUAGCGGUGAAAUGCGUAGAUAUUAGGAGGAACACCAGUGGCGAAGGCGGCUUACUGGACGAUGACUGACGUUGAGGCUCGAAAGCGUGGGGAGCAAACAGG